rnacentral:rRNA from 1 species
AGUCGGCCUGCGCGGAAGAUGUAACGGGGCUAAACCAUGCACCGAAGCUGCGGCAGCGACGCUGAUGCGUUGUUGGGUAGGGGAGCGUUCUGUAAGCCUGCGAAGGUGUGCUGUGAGGCAUGCUGGAGGUAUCAGAAGUGCGAAUGCUGACAUAAGUAACGAUAAAGCGGGUGAAAAGCCCGCUCGCCGGAAGACCAAGGGUUCCUGUCCAACGUUAAUCGGGGCAGGGUGAGUCGACCCCUAAGGCGAGGCCGAAAGGCGUAGUCGAUGGGAAACAGGUUAAUAUUCCUGUACUUGGUGUUACUGCGAAGGGGGGACGGAGAAGGCUAUGUUGGCCGGGCGACGGUUGUCCCGGUUUAAGCGUGUAGGCUGGUUUUCCAGGCAAAUCCGGAAAAUCAAGGCUGAGGCGUGAUGACGAGGCACUACGGUGCUGAAGCAACAAAUGCCCUGCUUCCAGGAAAAGCCUCUAAGCAUCAGGUAACAUCAAAUCGUACCCCAAACCGACACAGGUGGUCAGGUAGAGAAUACCAAGGCGCUUGAGAGAACUCGGGUGAAGGAACUAGGCAAAAUGGUGCCGUAACUUCGGGAGAA